CUAGUCGUCCGCACAAUCCUCAAUGUUCUUGUCAAAAGUUCUAGCCACCACAAGCCCUGCGCACCAUCUUCGUUGUUCUUUAGUUUCAUUUCGCACGAAACAUUAUACACUAUAAUCAUCUCAUUGAUAUAUGUCUCUAUGUCUACUCACCUCCCACUUGUGAUUUUGAUCAUUGUGUUCGUGUGUGACAUGGGUUCUAUCAUGAUUAAACUCGCUAAAUAUUUAUUGGAGACACCACUAAGCAUUCAUUAUAUUCAGUGCUUUAAAAGAAGAAGCGCCAACCCUUCAGACGAUUUUCAGGAAGCAUUGAAACAGGCAAUGCAGGCAAUAAAAAAGAAGGAAACCAAACAAGGGAUAGAUUCUUCUUAAAGGCGGUAAAAACUUAGAAAUACCUGACUCUUAGGAUCUUUAUACAUGUUCAAGGCAAAAGUAAGAAUUCCAUAGCAUUGUUCCUGAAACUAGAGUUUCAUGCAUUCUUAAUUAUGUACUGCUAUGGUCUUAACAGAUGUGGGGUUUACACUUUGCACCCCACAGUUUUAAUUUUUUUUUUAUGAUAUGCUAGAAAUUGUUUCGCAGUAUUAUAUGCUAGAAAUUAGGGGUGUGCACGGGUCGGUUCGGUUCGGUUUCUAUCUAAAACCGUUACCGAACCGUGUAUUUCGGUUCGGUUCGGUUUUUUGGUAAAAACCGUAACCGAACCGUUUGAAACGGUUUUUUUCGGUUCGGUUAACCGUUGGUCGGUUUCGGUUUUUUCCGGUUUUUAUAUGAUUGGAAACUAGUAUAUACAAAUUUAAUACUAUAUUUAAUUUUAGAAAAAUAUCUAUAUAUUUAUAAUAUCAAUUUCUCUUAUUAAACUAUAUAAAUAAUAUAUUGUAUCACACACACAUAUAUAAUAUGUUAUAUAUAAUAAUAUAUAAUAAAUAUUAUAUUUUUUUAUAUA